AUGUUCCCCCAGCGCCCGCCAUGCCCCGCGCCGCUCCGAAGCCCAACCGAGGCUGCUCCGGACAAACCGCCGCCCCUCGGCCGCUCCCCGCCGCCCCGCCCCGUCGCGAAGGAAGCGGCGUCUCUCGUUGCUAUGAUGGCGGCGGUGCGGCCGCAGGAGCGCGCCGUGCCCCGUACGGCAGCGCCGGGGCGUUGCGUGGAGCUCGGCGGGACGGGCGGCGCGGCGCCGUGGCGGCGGCACCUCCAGCAACCGGCGGGGCGCGGAGCGGGCGCGGAUCCGUGCGCGGACAGAGCUUUAGCGUUUCCCUUGGGAUGGGAUUUAGAAGAGGAGCGCUGGGCACUGAAAGAAGAUCAAAGGCUGUGUCGGAGCAGAGCGCGGAAGUAUUCGAUGGAGACCAACAGAAGGAGGAGAGUAGUCCAGGUCUGGUACAAGAGCAGAGGUCUUGAGAACUGGAGGCACAGAGUGUGGCAUAGAGAAGUGCAAGCACGGAUGAUAAAGGACCGAACACAGGUCCGGUACUGGAGACCCCAUAACUGUAAACAGCUCAACACUAGUCUGUUAAGGAGGUGCAGACCUGGAUCUGACUGUAAGAAAGAGAACCACAAAGUAGCACGUAAAUUAAUGUCAAAGGCACCCUGUGAAAUAUUUGGAUGGACUGUGAACCUGUGGAUCUGUUAAAAAAGAGCAAAGGUGUAAAAGUGUGGUAGGAAGCAUAAAAAUGACUCCAAGUGGAUCCCGAGGUGAGGAAGAAGAAAAAAUUAAUAUGAACAUCUCAUUGCUUCUGAAGAAGGGAUUCCAGAUGCUGACAACUCACUGAAAAACAUCAAGACCAUCAGAAUGCAAUUACCAGUAUUGGGACAGAGAAGAGCAAUGGAAGAAUAAGCAUAAGAUCAGGAAAAGGAGGAGAAAAUAAGAGUACAAAUAAAACUGUAAACUAUUAUAACUGUUAUUGAGGC
rnacentral:lncRNA from 1 species